UGGCUAUAUCAUGUUGAAACACCAGUUCCCAUAUGAUUAUCAAAAUUAAGCAAUGUUAAGGCUGGUCAGUACCUAGAUGGGUGACUGCUUGGGAAUACCAGGUGCUGUAAG